AUACCACGAAUCCCUAACCCUUUCUCUGCCUCUAAUCAAAGUCUCCCGUCUUCGCGAAGCAUCGUGGAUGUUGUAGUCCACGCCAUGUUUACAUUCUAGCGGGGGCAGGCGCAGCCACAACAAGCGUGGGAGGCGACAGGUCGAGACGACAGCGACAGGUGGCAGUUGUGUGUUGGGGGAGAGGUGGUGGCUGAAAUAGGUAAAGGGUUUCCUAACCCUUGUUGUAAGUUGGGGGAUAUCAUUCCUGUGGACCUCAUCUUUUGUUCCUUUUUUCUCCCCUUGGGAUUUCAGGACCCCUGAGUCCGCCAUAAAGGCGGAGCUUGAAGCCCCCGAGUUGGAGGGAGCGAUGCUGCCCCUCCUCCGGUGGUGAUGUCACUACCCCUUCAGCAGCUUCUUGCUGCCUAGAGCUGCUGGGGCUGGGUCACCCUUCCCCCGUCGCCAGCCCCGGAUUCCCCCAUCCCCGCCUCGCCUCGACUUGGGGUGAGUACGGGGGAGGGGGCGGAGGCUCAGGUCCGAAGGCGGUAAGACAGCCCAAGUGCCAGUUUGGAAGGUAGGGGACUUGGAAGACCCGGAAUCAAAGAUUACAGCGGAGGGAUCCCCUUUGAUUCUGAGCUUUGGGGCCAGGGUACUUGAAGGGUCUGGGAGGACCAAGGAUCUUAGGCAUGGAGUCCCUUUAUUUUCAGCGUUAGUGAGACUCUCUUUCGUGGAUUUGGAAGUGAUGGGAAUGGAGAUGCGGGAACAAGAAGAGUCCUAGAAGUCAGGGAGGAGACGACCCAUCCUCAAUUUUCGGGUCCUUGGGGAAUGGGGGAGGGAGUGUACAGGGUGAGGAGGUGGGAGUUUGGAGCUUUCGGAAAUUUUGUGAUUAGAGUGUCAGGGAAACAAUGCUUUGGAGAGGAGCUGGGUGGGAAAAGGUCUGAAGAAGUGGACAGAUAGCCUCUCCCCUCCUGAGUCCAUUGCCAAACAAGGAAUCUGUUUUCCUGUGGUCUGUGAGUAUAGCUGGGCGUUUCCGAGUCCCAUCUUGUCUCCAGAAUGCCCUUUCUCUCUAAUGGAUGGGUGAGACUCCAGGUUCACAACCCCCCCCAUACCCAGAUGAGGUCUAGAGAGGGCAAAGAGUGAGUGACAGCAUCCAAAUUUCCUAUGACUGAGGGAGUCUGAACCAUUCUGUUACUCCUGGCUGCUGCCCCCAUCCCCAGCCUCUAAUCCCAAAUCUCAUCCCAUAUUCUCCCCCUUUCCCAGCUCCUUCUCAUCAACAACACCGACCUUCUUCCACACUUCUGACCUCUGGGGGGGGGGAACCCAAGAAAUGAAACAAAACACAAACAAAAAAAAAUGCUGAGUUAGUAACUUGAUUCUGGGCCUAACUGCUGUCAAAAGCAGAAAGUAGCGGUGGGGGUGGGGUAUAAAAGGAUGGCUGACUUAGGUGCCCAACUCAGUCCCAAUUCCCAGCCUCUAGCGCCUACCCGGCCCCUUCUCCCGCCUCCAUCAUCAUGCCCUACUGGCCUGGGAGCCUCAUUCAAUGCCCACUACAGGAUUCACUGCUUCUGCCUAGGAGCACACCAGAAUUCAGGGUAGAAAGAGGUAGGAAGUGAUGAUGUGUUUCCUCUGCCCAGGUGGGUGCCAUCAGAGGCUCAAGGGCUGUCCAGUAUCCACACUGGAUUGGAGGCUAUGGGAAAGCCCAGGGUCUGGGGAGGAAGAGAACUACCUCCUUGUCUGCAGGACAAACCCCACUUCUGUUAUUCUCUGCAAUGACGCAGCAUGAACCCUGGCCAGGAUGAGGGUUAGAGUGUGUGGAGGGGAGCUAUGAGAGAAAGGAAAUGAGAAAGGGGAGCCCCAGGAAGAGACAGACUCAGGAGGGAGUAAGAAAUGGGAGAGAGACCCAAGGAGGACUCAGAGAAAAAGCAGGAUUAGAGUGAGUCGCCAGAACAGACGGAAAGAGAAAGGGCAGAGACGAACAGGUGAAGGGGACACGCCAGGGGGCUGUCAGCAUCCUCUAGCUGCCCGGUGCCUGGCCUGAUGCCACCCUCUGCAGGUGCAGCAGCUGGUUGGUACCGCUCAUGAAUAGGGAGAGGGAAAGGAAAGGAGAAGGAGUCAGUUGGAGAAUAAGAGGAGGCACAGAGAUCCAGAAAGGGUAAAGACAGGCGAAGUGGGGUGGGGGACAGAGCCUAGGAAGGAGAGGAGAACUGACAUACGGAGCGGGAUAGAGAUCAUGAAGUGACAGAGACUCAAAGAAGGACCCAAAGACCCAAAGAGAGGAAGAGAGACCUAGAGUGGCACUCCCUGAUUGAAACGUAGAGACCAAGAGGAUGAGACUGGGGAAGGGGUACUAAGCCUUGGCCAAGGAAGGGAAGACAACUCUAGAGAAGAGGAACAAGUACUCAAAAGGAGAGGGACAAAUUCAGAGACCCAGGGGAAGGGCAGAGAAUUAGGAAAGAGGGACCAGAGACACAGACACAGGAGCGGAAUGGGGUGGAGAGGUUAUACCAACCAGCCGCUGCACCUGCAGCGGAGGCGGCGGGCCAGAGACCGCGCCGCCAGAGGAUGCCCGCAGCCCCCUGACCCGCCCCCUUCGCUCCUACAGGCACCUCCUCGCUCAGCACCCAGCCGCAGUCGUUGGCUCCGCCCCAGCCCCUGCGUCUGCGCACUGCCUCCAAGAGCCCAGGACCGCUCUGGGGGCGGGGCCCGACGCUUCAAGGAGGUCCGCCUUGUUCUGGCCCCGCCCCUAACUCUCCAUCUCGACCCUUUCCCCCUCUCCGCACCUCUCUGACAUCUACCUGGCACAAUUUCCCCUUGGUCCCAUCUGUUGCCUCAGUUUAGACGGUAAUCCUGACGCUUUGGCCUCUCUCCCUCCCCUUCUUUCUGCCUGCAUUCGUGCUCACUCCAGCCCUUAUCCAUUCCUUCAUCCUCCAAUCUGCUGUCUGUGGUAGUCUAAUCUUCAUAUCCUUUCCUCUACCAACUGGAAGUUUUCAUCCUGCCCCCUAAGGCCUCAAUGAUCCUUGGUCCUUGAGGAUCUCUUUACUCCAAGUACUCCAAGACUCUGCGUUCCAGGUCCCUCUCUUCUGUCCACCGCAGUAGCUUUCUACUCUGCAAGUCUCACUUUUCCUCCAGCGUCGCCCCACGUCCCUAUCCUCCAGCCUCUUACCACUGCCGUCCUCCUACCCUUUCAAUUUCCUUAAAGUUCCGCCCCUCCCUUAGUCUCACCUUCCUACAACCGGUUCAAGUUGUUUUAUACCACUCGUCGUCCCCACCUACUUUUUUGGGUCCCGUCCCAUCCUUCCGGACCCAGCCCCCUCAGCAUUCUGCCUAGGCUGCUCCCUUAGUCCUAUUCAGACGCUCUCAGGUUUUCAAGCCUCGCUUGUUUCACACCUUCUCACCGGGUCUCAAUCUCUCUUCCCUGUCCCCUUUCGGUUCAGCCGGUCCCAUUCCGCGAGAAAGGGGUCCAUCUCCGGUUCCCGCCCCUCGUUCAGUCCCGCCCGCUCACUGCCCCAGCCAAUCAGGACUGUCUUUGCUCUUUGCUGUCUUAGGCCUUACCCCAUCCAACCUAUGUUGGCCCAACACAGCCCUAUCUGCCCCUCCACUCCGGGUCCUCUCUGCCAAGGCUUUAGGUCCCGACGAGAGAUCUCUUUCUCUCCGGACCCUUCUCAGUCCAACUAGGUAGGCUUCUCGGAUUGUGAUCCUUCAGGCCAGUCUGGCUACCCAUUUUUUGGUUCUAUCAGGUCUCUUUCUUACAUCUUGCCCCGUUUCUUGUGCUGCUGAGCCAAGAAACGUUUGUUACCGGUCCCGCUUCCUUUGGUACUCCGCCCCUCCGUUUUGCUAUCUCGCAGAGGUCCAAUCGGUGAGCCUCAUUUGUGGCUCCCCCACAUCCAGCUAGGCAGUGGUAGAGUAUCAGCCCCUCUGCUCCGGGUCUUAGCCCCACCCAAGUCCCUCAGGCCAAUCAGGUCGGAUCCUCCCCCACUCUAAUGCCCCGUCCUUCCAUUCUAUCGCCUACUCCCAUCCAAUCGCGUCCGCCCCUGCCCCUUUCAGGCCCGCCUCCUUCAUCCAUCUUCUCCUCCCACCCAAUCACGUCUGUGUCUUCUCUGAGCCCCGCCCCUCUUGGCCCUGCCUCUCCCGCCCCGCCCCCAGUCCAAUGCUUAGCUCAGUCUGCGUCUCGUCCUUCCGCCGGCGCCAGGGGGCCAGCAAGCAGCAGCAGGCACCAGAGCCGCAGCCGCCUGAGUCCCCGCCGCCGCUGUCCCCGCCGCUGCCACCGCCGCCGCUGCCGCAGCAGCAGCAGCCUGCGCAGCCCGGCCCCGCCGCGUCCUCGGCGGGCCCCCCGGCACCCCGCUGGCCCGGGGGCCGGUGCGCCGAGCCAUGCCCCGGGCUGCCGGCGGCGGCCAUGGGGCGGCACGGCGGCGGCGGUGGCGACAGCGGCAAGAUCGUGAUCAACGUGGGCGGCGUGCGCCAUGAGACGUACCGUUCGACGCUGCGCACCCUGCCAGGGACGCGGCUGGCCGGCCUGACGGAGCCUGAGGCGGCUGCGCGCUUCGACUACGAUCCAGGUGCAGACGAGUUCUUCUUCGACCGACACCCGGGCGUCUUCGCCUACGUGCUCAACUACUACCGCACCGGCAAGCUGCACUGCCCGGCCGACGUGUGCGGGCCGCUCUUCGAAGAGGAGCUCGGCUUCUGGGGCAUCGACGAGACCGACGUAGAGGCCUGCUGCUGGAUGACCUACCGGCAGCAUCGCGACGCUGAGGAAGCGCUCGACUCCUUCGAGGCUCCCGACCCCUCGGGUGCCGCCAACGCCGGCAAUGCCGCAGGAGCCCACGACGCAGGCUUGGACGACGAGGCGGGCGCGGGCGGCGGUGGCCUGGACGGCGCUGGCGGCGAGCUCAAGCGCCUCUGCUUCCAAGACGCGGGCGGCGGCGCCGGGGGGCCGCCAGGGGGCGCGGGCGGCGCGGGCGGCACAUGGUGGCGCCGCUGGCAGCCCAGAGUGUGGGCACUCUUCGAGGACCCCUACUCAUCGCGGGCCGCCAGGUAUGUGGCCUUCGCCUCACUCUUCUUCAUCCUUAUCUCCAUCACCACCUUCUGCCUGGAGACCCAUGAGGGCUUCAUCCACAUCAGCAACAAGACGGUGACACAGGCCUCCCCAAUCCCAGGGGCUCCACCAGAGAACAUCACCAAUGUGGAGGUGGAGACGGAGCCCUUCCUGACCUAUGUGGAGGGGGUGUGCGUGGUCUGGUUCACCUUUGAGUUCCUCAUGCGCAUCACCUUCUGCCCGGACAAAGUGGAGUUCCUCAAAAGCAGCCUCAACAUCAUUGACUGUGUUGCCAUCCUGCCCUUCUACCUGGAGGUGGGCCUCUCGGGCCUGAGCUCCAAGGCCGCCAAGGAUGUACUGGGCUUCCUGCGUGUCGUCCGCUUUGUCCGCAUCCUGCGUAUCUUCAAGCUGACCCGACACUUUGUGGGGCUGCGUGUGCUGGGCCACACGCUCCGUGCCAGCACCAAUGAGUUCCUGCUGCUCAUCAUCUUCCUGGCUCUGGGGGUGCUCAUCUUUGCCACCAUGAUUUACUACGCAGAGCGCAUUGGCGCUGAUCCUGAUGACAUCCUGGGCUCCAACCACACCUAUUUUAAGAACAUCCCCAUUGGCUUCUGGUGGGCCGUGGUCACCAUGACAACCCUGGGCUACGGAGACAUGUACCCUAAGACAUGGUCGGGGAUGCUUGUUGGGGCACUGUGUGCCCUGGCGGGCGUGCUGACCAUUGCCAUGCCCGUGCCCGUCAUUGUCAACAACUUUGGCAUGUACUAUUCACUGGCUAUGGCCAAACAGAAGCUACCCAAGAAGAAGAACAAACAUAUCCCCCGACCCCCGCAGCCCGGCUCUCCCAACUACUGCAAGCCUGACCCACCCCCACCACCCCCACCCCACCCUCAUCAUGGAAGCGGUGGCAUCAGCCCCCCACCACCCAUCACCCCACCUUCUGUGGGGGUGACUGUGGCUGGGGCCUACCCUCCAGGGCCACACACACACCCUGGGCUGCUCAGGGGGGGCGCAGGGGGGCUGGGGAUUAUGGGGCUGCCUCCUCUGCCGGCCCCUGGGGAGCCCUGCCCGCUGGCUCAGGAGGAGGUGGUUGAAAUCAACAGGGCAGACCCCCGCCCCAAUGGGGAUCCAGCUGCAGCUGCACUGGCCCACGAGGACUGCCCUGCCAUUGACCAGCCUGCCAUGUCUCCGGAGGACAAGAGUCCCAUUACACCAGGAAGCCGGGGCCGCUACAGCCGGGACCGAGCCUGCUUCCUCCUCACUGACUAUGCCCCCUCCCCUGAUGGCUCCAUUCGAAAAGCCACUGGUGCUCCCCCACUGCCCCCCCAAGACUGGCGUAAGCCAGGCCCCCCAAGCUUCUUGCCCGACCUCAACGCCAACGCUGCGGCCUGGAUAUCCCCCUAGUGGAUGAACCCCCUUCCCCCCGGGCUCUUGUCACCGCCUGAGACCUCGUGAGACCCUCGGGUCCCCCCUGCCCCUUCCCCCCAGUCAGGACUCCCGCCUUCAGACAGCGCCCCCGGGCUCUGCCUAGAAAAGCCGUGGAACUCCCCCCAGACCCGGCAGAACCGAAGAUGGACCACGCUUUCAGAAACCACACACCCUGCUCCUGGAUCUUGGGUCCCGUGAGCCGAACCCCUAGCGCCCUCCCUCACCCACAGAAGCCCAUUUCCUUCAGACUUCGGGAUGCUUCAAAUCCUGUCACAACUGACACUGCCUGGCCCUUCCUGGACCCUUGACCACGCCCCAGGGAUUAGCCUUGCCCCCGCCCACUGCCCUCGGAGUUCUCUCACUCCCAAGGGCACCACCAGCUUUGGCUCCUUCAGCCCCUCACAGCCCUGCCCGCCUGGCCCCCUUUCCCUACACUAGGUGGCUCCGAACCGGAUCUGCGCCCCCACCCAGCCCGUUUUCCUCCACACCCUCUCCACCGGCUGCUCCCCGACAUGCAUUCCGCCCGGCCCUCCCCACGCCCCUGCCGCCACCAUCCCGCCUUGCUGUCCCCCCGCCUUUUGGCCUCAGAUGAGGAGUCUUUGGGGGAGGGAGGGACGGGCUGGUAAGGGGUGGGCGGAGUGGGGGGGAGGCUCGGUGGCGCCACCGCCUCCUAAUCCUGAGUCUCUCCCCCUCCCUGUGUCUGAACCUUUCUUGUGGAUGCUGACUGACGCUCCAAUUUGUUCACUUUCUCUCUCUCUCUCUCUCUCUCUCUCUCUCUCUCUCUCUCUCUCUCUCUCUCUCUCUCUCUCUCUCUCUCUCUCUCCUUGGUCCAUCUCUGUCUCUUGCCAUCCGUCUUUUUGUGUCUCCAUGUUUGCCUCCCUGUCGUCCUGUCUCUUAUUUCUGUUUUUCACCGUCUGUCUCUGGCCGUCUCUGUUUCUCUGGGUAUCUUCUGCUUUCUCCAUCCCUUUCUCUCUUUCUCUCUCCCUGUCUGGGGUCUCUCUGUGGGACCCUCCCUGCACUCCCAUCCCCAUGCUUCCUCCCGGUGUUUCUGCCCUUCCCCCCACCCAGGUUACGAGAAAUCCCGCAGCCUGAGCAGCAUCGCGGGCCUGAGCGGGGUGUCUCUACGCCUCGCGCCCCUUGCCACCCCUCCUGGCUCUCCCCGGGCCGCCCGCCGCGCUCCCCCAACCCUGCCCUCCAUCCUUUAGC